AUGUUUGGAAGUUUCAGCUUGGAUUUCUUUGGUUUCAGAUGAUGGUGUUCCUGGCAGACUGCAUCUGUCCCUCCAAAAGGAACAGACCACCACAGUAUCACUCUCAGUCAAGAAAACAAGGUCCAGAGUCAGCUCAGCUGCUGAAAAACAGGUAUGAAGAGCAGGAAGCAGAUGAGGGAGAUAUCUCAGAUGAUGACACAGAGGGUAAGGAGGGCAACAAGAGAGACUCAUCACCAAGUGCUGUCCGGCAGCGCCCCGUGACCACUGCUGCUCCCCUGGAUAAAUCUUAGCUGCAUUUGCAAGCAGGAUUAGUGUUUGAGUCAUCCACUCAAAGGGAGAUCUGUGUCAAAUCCUUCAGCUUGAAGAGAAGAAUGACUCCUGGCGUGAUAACGUUGCUGCAUUUCAUGAAUUCAGAGGAAAUUUUUUUUAAAAAGCAUGUUUGGCAUCAGGUAUUGAAAAGGAAAAAUUGCUGUUGCAAAUGGCUGGAACUUCUCCUGUCUGUGUGCAGAGAAGUGCCAAGAAUUGCUGUGGCUUCUGGAAGGACUUGUUCCCCAGGGAUUUUGUUGAAGAAAAUGUAAACGAGAAUACUUGUUGCAUUAGGGAUUGUUAGCAAGGAAAAUGCACUGACCUGGUUGGUGGUGAAGCAUUCCAAAAGGGUUCCCUGUUUUUAUACUGUAGUAUAAAUCUCUAGUUGUGCCCUGAAGAAAUGCUGAGGGGAAAAGUUCCUUUAGUUAUGGAACUAAAGUUUCUUUAGUUUAGGCUUUCUAUGUGACAAAAACUGCUUUUUGCUAUGACAAUGAGUGCUACAAACCCCCCAAUCCUUUUUCUUACAAAGAGCUGAUGGAAAUUAGCACAAACACUCCAUAGUGGGAUUCUGUGGCUGACCAGGAACCUGCUGUUUGCAUCUUCCAGAAAAGGCUGUAGAAAACCCUGAGAGCUUCUUGGCAAAGUAGUUUUUCUCUAGGAACAAAUGACAAGUAGCACCUUGAAGUCUUGUCUGUCUCUAUGAUUCCACGUGGGAAUAGUUUACACGCAGGGUCCUCUGUGCAAAUCCUCUCCAUUCCUCCUCCUGGGUGCCAGCAGGACUCUGCUUGUUUUUAAUCCAUCAUUUCUUAGUCAAAUCUUGCUGCAAAUCCAUGCAGGCUGUACCUGCCCUGAAGUUGAAACAAUGCUUCCUAUUUCUUUGACAGAAACUUUGCUUUUUUCCUGUUUUCACAAAACCAUUUUGGAACAUUAAACCUUAUUUUUUUCUUAAAAAAUGUAGUUUACUCUUGUCUGUAUGGUAUUGGUUUUCACUCUGUAUAGAAAUAAAAAGAAUGCACAUGUCCAUUGGACCAAUGUUGUAAAGAGUUUUCCAUAUUCUCUUAAUUAAAUUCCAAAGUUUUUGCAAGGGAAGGAUGAGCCUAAUACUGAGCACAUUUAGAUUUUUUUUACAAACCUGUUCCUGAAUUUUUUUUUUGUUUAGCUGUGGGUUUUAAGCUUUUAUUUGUAGUUAUUUAGUAUUUUUUAGUAUUUAGUUUUUAUUUGUAGUUAUUUAGUGGGGUUUUUUUUUCUAAAUUAUUUAUCUGGCUUCUUCUCUCUUUGUCUUUUCUCUAUGCUGAUGCUCUGAAAUGACUGGACUUAAGUGUUGUGUGUUAGAAAGAUAAACUGAUGUUUCUGAGAGUUUUUUUGGUUAAAAUCUGAGUGUCCCUAACCCUUUUUAAAGAUAAAUCCUCUCCUGGUGUUGGAGUGAAGAGCACUGUGUGCCAGAAAUGCCCUUAAGAUGUUGGAUUUUUGGAAUUGCCUUAAAUUCUGUAGAAGUUUUGAUCUCUUAGCCUUUGUCACUCAUGAAUAAAGCAAUAAAUGAAAUAAGGAGAAGUCAUAGCACUGCCUUUGAUCAAUGGUGUUUUUCAGUUUGGAGGGGGCUUGAGAAGACAGAAAUGUUGUAGCUGUUAGGAAAAAACAUUGAAUUAUUUUAAAAGCUGAGCUAUCAGUUCUCACUCCACUUGGGAUAUAUUUAAAUGUUGCUUUUCUGAGUGCAGGAGUUUCUCAUUUUUCAGUUACAACCAAACUUUGUGCAAUAUAGAGAGAGCACCCUGAUGACUUUUGGCUAACUUUUCAUUUUAAAACAACACCCAGCCUUUCCUUUGUAGGCUCCUGGUUGAACAAGAACUUCCAGCAUUAAUUUACCUUUUGCCUCUGCCUGCUGCUCACUUCUCCCCGCCUUAGGCUCGUAACCAAAUCCCAAAGCUGCCUCCUAGGGCUGAGUGUUCCCAGCUGCUGGAAUCCAGCCCCUGUGUGCAACUCCUGCUUGGAUUAGCCAUGGGCAGCCUGUGCUUGCUGAUCUCUCCCUUCAUAUUUUUGCAUAAUAUUAUGGUUUUGUCCUGUGAAUAUUUAAGUUCCUUGAUUUAUUUUUUUUUUAAAUCUCUAUUCCAAAGAUGUUUACUGAGGCUGAGCAAUGUAACAUUAGUGUUAAGAGACAGUCCUUCAUGUGUUUUGAUGUUGCUUGAGUAUCAGUUUUGUAAAAAUCAAACUGCUCUUUCCAUAUCACCACGUGGACCAGGC
rnacentral:lncRNA from 1 species